rnacentral:rRNA from 2 species
UACAUGGAGUCCAAGCGUUAUCCGGAUUUACUGGGCGUAAAGCGUCCGUAGGCGUUCCGAUAAGUUUUCAGUGAAAUCCUUCCGCCCAACGGGAGAACUGUUGAAAAAACUAUCGGAAUCGAGUGUGGCAGAGGCAAGGGGAAUUCCCGGUGUAGGGGUAAAAUCCGUUGAUAUCGGGAAGAACACCAGUGGCGAAGGCGCCUUGCUGGGCCAUUACUGACGCUCAGGGACGAAAGCGUGGGUAGCGAACGGG